AUACGGAGGGUGCAAGCGUUAAUCGGAAUUACUGGGCGUAAAGCGUACGUAGGCGGUUCGUUAAGUUAGAUGUGAAAGCCCCGGGCUUAACCUGGGAACUGCAUUUAAAACUGGCGGACUAGAGUUGAGUAGAGGGGAGUGGAAUUUCAGGUGUAGCGGUGAAAUGCGUAGAGAUCUGAAGGAACACCAGUGGCGAAGGCGACUCCCUGGACUCGAACUGACGCUGAGGUACGAAAGCGUGGGUAGCAAACGGGAUUAGAAACCCGUGUAGUCC
rnacentral:rRNA from 1 species